GAUGAAGAACGUAGCGAAAUGCGAUAAGUAGUGUGAAUUGCAGAAUUCAGUGAAUCAUCGAAUCUUUGAACGCACAUUGCGCCCCUUGGUAUUCCAUGGGGCAUGCCUGUUCGAGCGUCAUUUGUACCUUCAAGCUUUGCUUGGUGUUGGGUGUUUGUCUCGCCUUUGCGUGUAGACUCGCCUUAAAAUAAUUGGCAGCCGGCGUAUUGAUUUCGGAGCGCAGUACAUCUCGCGCUUUGCACUCAUAACGACAGCGUCCAAAAGUACAUUUUACACUCUUGACCUCGGAUCAGGUAGGGAUACCCGCUGAACUUAAGCAUAUCAUAAGCGGGGA
rnacentral:misc_RNA from 1 species